rnacentral:rRNA from 1 species
UUGGAGGGCAAGUCUGGUGCCAGCAGCCGCGGUAAUUCCAGCUCCAAUAGCGUAUAUUAAAGUUGUUGCAGUUAAAAAGCUCGUAGUUGAAUUUCGGGAUCAAUUUAUUGGUCGUGCCAACGGUACGCACUGGUACAAUUGGUUUCUCCCUUCUGACGAAGCAUGAUGUCAUUAAUUUGAUGUCGUGGGGAAUCAGGACUGUUACUUUGAAAAAAUUAGAGUGUUUAAAGCAGGC